ACGUUGCGCUUCCGCCAGCGCGCGCACCGUCGGUAAAAAUGGCGAGCUUAUGUGCGCGUGCCGUGAGACAUCGCUGCUCGGUUUUAGCACGUCCUUUACUCCUGAGGGCGACGCCCCGCCUCCUCUGCACAGCGGCCCAGCAGAAGGGGGCGGGGUCAGAGGAGGAGAACGGCACGCGGAGGCCCGAGGCGACCGCUGCAGAGAAAGUCUCGGCUGAAGAGAAGACUCACCUGGAGGAGCAGCUGAAGGAAAUCACGG